rnacentral:rRNA from 1 species
UGGGGAAUAUUGCACAAUGGGCGCAAGCCUGAUGCAGCCAUGCCGCGUGUGUGAAGAAGGCCUUCGGGUUGUAAAGCACUUUCAGCGAGGAGGAAGGUGGUGAACUUAAUACGUUCAUCAAUUGACGUUACUCGCAGAAGAAGCACCGGCUAACUCCGUGCCAGCAGCCGCGGUAAUACGGAGGGUGCAAGCGUUAAUCGGAAUUACUGGGCGUAAAGCGCACGCAGGCGGUUUGUUAAGUCAGAUGUGAAAUCCCCGGGCUCAACCUGGGAACUGCAUUUGAAACUGGCAAGCUAGAGUCUCGUAGAGGGGGGCUAGAAUUCCAGGUGUAGCGGUGAAAUGCGUAGAGAUCUGGAGGAAUACCGGUGGCGAAGGCGGCCCCCCUGGACGAAGACUGACGCUCAGGUGCGAAAGCGUGGGGCAGCAAACAGGAUUAGAUACCCUGGUAGUCCAGCGCUGUAAACGAUGUCGAUUUGGAGGUUGUGCCCUUGAGGCGUGGCUUCCGGAGCUAACGCGUUAAAUCGACCGCC